GACGAACGCUGGCGGCGUGCCUAAUACAUGCAAGUAGAACGCUGAAGGAGGAGCUUGCUUCUCUGGAUGAGUUGCGAACGGGUGAGUAACGCGUAGGUAACCUGCCUGGUAGCGGGGGAUAACUAUUGGAAACGAUAGCUAAUACCGCAUAAUAGUAGAUGUUGCAUGACAUUUGCUUAAAAGGUGCAAUUGCAUCACUACCAGAUGGACCUGCGUUGUAUUAGCUAGUUGGUGGGGUAACGGCUCACCAAGGCGACGAUACAUAGCCGACCUGAGAGGGUGAUCGGCCACACUGGGACUGAGACACGGCCCAGACUCCUACGGGAGGCAGCAGUAGGGAAUCUUCGGCAAUGGACGGAAGUCUGACCGAGCAACGCCGCGUGAGUGAAGAAGGUUUUCGGAUCGUAAAGCUCUGUUGUAAGAGAAGAACGAGUGUGAGAGUGGAAAGUGCACACUGUGAAGGUAUCUUACCAGAAAGGGACGGCUAACUACGU
rnacentral:rRNA from 1 species